rnacentral:rRNA from 1 species
CGGCCCUGAGAUGAGAUCUCUCAUAACGUAAGUUAGUAAGACCCCUUGCAGAAGACAAGGUUGAUAGGCCGGGAGUGUAAGUGCAGCAAUGUAUUGAGCGGACCGGUACUAAUAGGUCGAGGGCUUGAUUUC